CCACGAUAGGCGGGGGGCUGGCGGUCCCCUGUACCCGAAACCCGCCAUAGCGGGGCCGAAAUCCUGCUUGAGGCUACUUAAGUCGGGAAACAGGCUGAACUGAACGUGAUGAAGGCUGGGUCCUGUGCAACGAUGUACCAUGAACCUGGUCAGGUCCGGAAGGAAGCAGCCAUAAGUGGUUCACAUCGUGUGCCGCAGGGGAGCCUGGCUGGAGCGGGAGGUGCAGUCAUGCCCCGGUUCGGGUAAGUCGACAGCAGGUUCGUGG
rnacentral:SRP_RNA from 2 species